AUUGAACGCUGGCGGCAGGCCUAACACAUGCAAGUCGGGCGGAUGAAGGGAGCUUGCUCCUGGAUUCAGCGGCGGACGGGUGAGUAAUGCCUAGGAAUCUGCCUGGUAGUGGGGGAUAACGUCCGGAAACGGGCGCUAAUACCGCAUACGUCCUGAGGGAGAAAGUGGGGGAUCUUCGGACCUCACGCUAUCAGAUGAGCCUAGGUCGGAUUAGCUAGUUGGUGGGGUAAAGGCCUACCAAGGCGACGAUCCGUAACUGGUCUGAGAGGAUGAUCAGUCACACUGGAACUGAGACACGGUCCAGACUCCUACGGGAGGCAGCAGUGGGGAAUAUUGGACAAUGGGCGAAAGCCUGAUCCAGCCAUGCCGCGUGUGUGAAGAAGGUCUUCGGAUUGUAAAGCACUUUAAGUUGGGAAGAAGGGCAGUAAGUUAAUACCUUGCUGUUUUGACGUUACCAACAGAAUAAGCACCGGCUAACUUCGUG
rnacentral:rRNA from 1 species